ACGUAGGGUCCAAGCGUUAAUCGGAAUUAAUGGGCGUAAAGCGUGCGCAGGCGGUUGUGCAAGACCGAUGUGAAAUCCCCGAGCUUAACUUGGGAAUUGCAUUGGUGACUGCACGGCUAGAGUGUGUCAGAGGGGGGUAGAAUUCCACGUGUAGCAGUGAAAUGCGUAGAGAUGUGGAGGAAUACCGAUGGCGAAGGCAGCCCCCUGGGAUAACACUGACGCUCAUGCACGAAAGCGUGGGGAGCAAACAGG
rnacentral:rRNA from 1 species